rnacentral:rRNA from 1 species
AUUGAACGCUGGCGGCAUGCCUUACACAUGCAAGUCGAACGGUAACGGGCCUUCGGGUGCCGACGAGUGGCGAACGGGUGAGUAAUACAUCGGAACGUGCCCGAUCGUGGGGGAUAACGAGGCGAAAGCUUUGCUAAUACCGCAUACGAUCUACGGAUGAAAGCAGGGGACCGCAAGGCCUUGCGCGGACGGAGCGGCCGAUGGCAGGUUAGGUAGUUGAUGGGAUAAAAGCUUACCAAGCCGACGAUCUGUAGCUGGUCUGAGAGGAUGAUCAGCCACACUGGGACUGAGACACGGCCCAGACUCCUACGGGAGGCAGCAGUGGGGAAUUUUGGACAAUGGGCGCAAGCCUGAUCCAGCCAUGCCGCGUGCAGGAUGAAGGCCUUCGGGUUGUAAACUGCUUUUGUACGGAACGAAAAGCCUUCUUUUAAUACAGGAGGGUCAUGACGGUACCGUAAGAAUAAGCACCGGCUAACUACGUG